rnacentral:misc_RNA from 1 species
AAGAAAGAGUUGCUGAAUUUACCAUUCAGACUGAGAUGAUGACUCAGUUUGGCAUGAUUUAAUCUUUGAUCAGAAGUAGUAGAAGGAUAAUAAAAUGUUAUUUUGAGCUCAAACACUUAGGUUUAUUCUGCAUUCAAUAAAAAGUUGCAGCUGUUUUCAUAUGAAAAAGUUCAACAAUAAUAUCAGAAAAAAAAAAAAUUAAACUAAUCUUUACUACAUUCAUCUGUAUGGAAACCUGUUGCCAAAUCUUGCUGCUUUUAGUUUAGUAAUUUCUUUUUCAAGCCUUUUAAUCCGAGCCUCUAGUGCCAAUCCUGAUAUUUCAAGUGUAUCACUACUAUCUUCUCCUUCAUUGCCAGUGAGGCUUACCUUGUUAUAAACCAGAUUUCCUUGUUUACGCUUACUUGUUUCUUCCAUGCCUCUCUGUGAACUCCCCACUGCAACCUCACUAUGCAAAAUGUUCUCUACAAAUUUUGGCAUUGAAUCCAUCUUUCUUGCAGUUUUAUCAUGUGUAAAUGAAGCUGAAGAGCUUUGAGAUUGACCAAACAACAUAUCACUAUUAUCAAAGGCUCUCUUGCCAAAAGUCUUGCAAUUAUUACAGGUAGUCAACAUUUCCUCAUCUGUUUGAUCAUGGGAAUUUUCCAUUUUCACCAUGUUAUAUUUGGGAUGAAAACCAGGUGGAACAUCAGGAACUCUAGCUUUCUUCUUUAUUUUUGCAGCCUGUUGGUCUGUUUUCAAUCUCUGCAUACUAGUUUGCAUCUCUGUAUCUUCUGUAAAUGAGGACGAAGAUCUUUGAAAUUGGCUAGACAAUUUAAUACCAUUGCUAAAUUUUGUUUUGCUAAAUCUCUUGCGUUUGCCACAAGUACCUGGUUUAUCUUCCUCAACAGAAUCUCUACU